CCUGGGGACUGGGGUCAGCCCAGGGUGGGGCUCCUGAGAGGAGAUGGGCACGUGGCACCGGCUUGGGGACACCCUCUGUGUCCCCACACUCCUCAGUUGUGCCCUUGUGGACCCCGCCUGCCCCCCACAAUCGUGUCUGCCUGGAGAGCUCACACCAGAUCUCUCUCCAGGAGGCCCUGCAGGACGGACUGCCCCCCACCCCCGCAGCAUCUUCCCAGCAGCCCCAAGCCCGGCAAGGGACGGAGCAGCUUCCUGACCGUGCGGCCUGGGAGGCAGUGGAUGAUGGCGCAAGUUCCCGGCUCCUGGCUUUUAGUCUGGCCCAGCCUCAGCUGUCGGCAAGCUCUCCUCCCCUUCAGCGCCUGGAAACUUGCUGACCCUGCACCCCAGCCCAGGCUUGGUGCCACCUGUGCUUCCAUGGAGGCACACAGCUCGGCACUACCUGUGGAGGUGCCUGGUAGGUCCCUUCCCCCGCUACACCUGACUCGGCCGUUGUUCUCAGGAGGUUGGGUGAGGGGACAGGACUCUGCCCAGUGUCCAGGACCCGGAGGAGGCCGAGUGUGUGGUGAAGCUCAG